GAUGGGUUGCUAACAUUUGUUGAGAACUUUGUGAAGGAUCACUUCUUACCAGCAAUGUUUGUAGAUUACAGGAAAGCUGUACAACACAGCCAUAGCAAGCCCAGCUUCAUUUCGACCACGAGCACAAGCUGCUACUUCUUACUCUUCUUCAAUUGAGAAAGGAUGACCUGUGUUACAAGGACUUUUGGCAAUAGACUUUUUAGCGAAAGAGAAAAUGGAGAGCAAGUGAAUGAUAAUCAAUUAUACUAUAAUGCGAUUGGCGGACAUGAAAAGAAAAGAACUUUAUGGACAUCAUCACCAGGCCUCCAUCUCAAGUCAAUUGAUUUUGAUGUUGAUUGUUGUUAAAACUAUUAUAUUGUUCUUUAGACUCGAACUGAGUAUUAUUACUUAUUAGAUGUGGAUUAAUAUGUACUAUUACUUGAAAUUA